GAUGAACGCUGGCGGCGUGCCUAAUACAUGCAAGUCGAGCGAAUGGAUUAAGAGCUUGCUCUUAUGAAGUUAGCGGCGGACGGGUGAGUAACACGUGGGUAACCUGCCCAUAAGACUGGGAUAACUCCGGGAAACCGGGGCUAAUACCGGAUAACAUGUUGAACCGCAUGGUUCGAAAUUGAAAGGCGGCUUCGGCUGUCACUUAUGGAUGGACCCGGGUCGCAUUAGCUAGUUGGUGAGGUAACGGCUCACCAAGGCAACGAUGCGUAGCCGACCUGGGAGGGUGAUCGGCCACACAGGGACUGAGACACGGCCCAGACUCCUACGGGAGGCAGCAGUAGGGAAUCUUCCGCAAUGGACGAAAGUCUGACGGAGCAACGCCGCGUGAGUGAUGAAGGCUUUCGGGUCGUAAAACUCUGUUGUUAGGGAAGAACAAGUGCUAGUUGAAUAAGCUGGCACCUUGACGGUACCUAACCAGAAAGCCACGGCUAACUACGUGCCAGCCGCCGCAGUAA
rnacentral:rRNA from 1 species